GGGCGGUUAGCUCAGCUGGCUAGAGCGCUGCUUUCACACGGCAGAGGUCGAGGGUUCGAGUCCCCCACCGCCCACCA
rnacentral:tRNA from 1 species